UACGUAGGGGGCAAGCGUUGUCCGGAAUCAUUGGGCGUAAAGAGCGCGUAGGCGGCCCGGUAAGUCCGCUGUAAAAGUCCAGGGCUCAACCCUGGAAAGCCGGUGGAUACUGUCGGGCUAGAGUCCGGAAGAGGCGAGUGGAAUUCCUGGUGUAGCGGUGGAAUGCGCAGAUAUCAGGAAGAACACCGAUGGCGAAGGCAGCUCGCUGGGACGGUACUGACGCUGAGGCGCGAAAGCGUGGGGAGCGAACAGG
rnacentral:rRNA from 1 species